UUGGUAGGUCUUCUCCGUUAGCCUUCCUCCUGCAAGAAUACCAGCUAUAUUCUUGUUUAUGGCACUCGCAUACGCUUUGCUUUUGUUGUCUCAACUUAUGGGUGGUGAUUCAUAAAGUAGCCUGCCGUAGUGGCAAGACUAUGCGAGGACUCUGCUCCGUAAAUUGUUGUUUAAUAUGUUUUCCUAUUUGUUGUGUAAUUGUUUCUCUGGCCUGCAGCAACCGCCGGGGCACACAAGAAGAGGAGAGCCAUUUUCUGGCAGCCCCAAAAAGUAGGCCAUGAAUAUUUCAUGCGGGCCAAGAGAAAGGAUUUGAAAAGUUUUUGUCAGCUUUCGCAAAGACUUUUACUCAUGCUCUCGGCGGAAAGUAUAAAUAAAGUAGCACUCUCCGAUGUUGUUUUUAUAAAUAGAGUCCAACAAGAGAUUUCCAUGAGCAGAAAAUCCCCAUGGAUCCAACUGGAACACAUUGAAAGUCGUGCCACAGUGCGUGGAGACUUCAUUAAAUGACACGACGUAAAUAAGAGCCGCAAACAAAUGGCUGCCAGAGCCCCACCACAUUAUAUGUACAUAUAUUGUGAAUAUAAAUAUAAAUCUAUA